CUGAGCGCAGCCGUGUCUGAGCCCAGAGCCGGGGAGCCCAGCGUUUGAGGGGGGUAACCCGAGCCCUCGAAGCCCUUGAAGCUGCGGGGGUGGCUUAGCUUCAGUGUUUUGGCCGAGAACACCCUUAAAGCUUAAAAUAAAACCUGCCUGUGGGGUGUGGGGAGGACCGAGGCGUAUGCGCAUCAGCACGCCCCCCUCCCCAUACCCUCCUCGGCUCUGGUUUGGGGAACAGGAUGCCGAGGGCUUGGACCAGAGGGGCCGGAGCCCCCACCCUCCGCCCCCCGCCGCCCCGUGGAUGCUCCAGAUCCCCGACCCACACCCCGGCCGGCCCCAGAUGCCCUCCCACACUUACGAAGGAAAUGCAGGCGGCCAGGAGAAGGAUCCGCACCAGGAGGUCUUCAAACUGCUCUAUCACCAACUCCCACAGGGACUUCCCUGGGAGAAGAGGCAGGGGAGGGGGCCCCCACGGUUAAGGUCUGGUGGAUGAAUGGCUGGGACUCCGGGUGCAGGCUGGGAUCCAGGGGCUGAGAGUGGCCUGAUUUCCACAGCCUAAGCAGGAAGGUUCUGGGGGUGAUGGGCAAGCCGCUUGGUACUGAGAGAAGGACUGAGGGAGCUCGCCAGGAGUCCAGAAACAGGCUCCCCAAAGUUGUGGUUAGUUGUUCAAGGGCUGGAGGCCUCACAGAGAAAGUACCUGGAAACUCCUGCCCCCAGCCAGCCUUUAACCUUUGGGGAGGGUAUUUGCCCCAGGAGUCAGUCGGGAGAAGGUGGGGAGAAGGGGGUGGGGGGUGUGGGGAGGAGUGUCAUUAAGAGAGUCCAGAGAUUCCAGUAACUUACCUUCCUCAGCAGGGAGCUCUACCCAGGGAAAAAGAAGAAAAGGACACAUUCAUUUGGGGCUCAGUCUAAUGCCCACCCCCCCCCCCCCAGGAUUCUGUGGCUAAGGUGAGGAUACUGAGGCCUGGAGAGGCUAACACCUGGCCUAGGCCAAACAGCAAAGGAGAGGAAAAGCUAGGAGUGAAAGCCAGUGCUCUCUGUCAUCUACCCCCCAGCUUCCCAGCCUGGCCCCGAGAAGGGGAGCAGCCAGCCUGCCCUGGGCCCCUCCGCAGCCAGACUCUGUGGCUGCCACAUUCAACCUCUGCCAACACGGCCACUAUGCCCCAACCCCGCCCCCACGAUCUCCCUCUGCCUGCUUUCUCCCUACGGUGGAAAGCCUUAACUGAAGAACUUAGAGCAAGAAGGGUCCUUGGAGGUUGCCGAUCCUGCUGUUCACUGUCCGGUCCCGUUAAGAGAACUUGGCCGCAAACCCCGAGAAGCACUAUUGGGCUCUGCACUUACCGCUCAACAAACAGGACCGCCCACGGGGGAGCAAUGGGCCGAAAGCACAGGGCUAGAGGGCAACAGGGACUUGACCUGACGCAGCCUUCUGGCCUCUCAGCUCUGGAGCGGGCAACGCCGAGUGGGCUGCUUUCCUGCCCCACCUGCCCCAACCCCCGCUGCAAACAGUGGCCACAGCCAUCACGACGGAACUGAGAUAAACCCUUUUAUUUAUU